GGGUCUUUAGCUCAGUUGGUUAGAGCGCACGCUUGAUAAGCGUGAGGUCCGGUGUUCAAGUCACCGAAGACCCACCA
rnacentral:tRNA from 1 species